AUACGGGGGAUGCAAGCGUUAUUCGGAAUCAUUGGGCGUAAAGGGCACGCAGGCGGUUCUGUCAGUCAGAUGUGAAAGCCCGGGGCUUAACCCCGGACGUGCAUUUGAAACAGCAGGACUUGAGUAUGGUAGAGGAAAGCGGAAUUCCUGGUGUAGAGGUGAAAUUCGUAGAUAUCAGGAGGAACACCGGUGGCGAAGGCGGCUUUCUGGACCAAAACUGACGCUGAGGUGCGAAGGCGUGGGUAGCGAACAGGAUUAGAAACCCCGGUAGUCC
rnacentral:rRNA from 1 species